rnacentral:rRNA from 1 species
GUGCAGCAGGCGCGAAAACUUUACAAUGCGGGAAACCGUGAUAAGGGAGUCUCGAGUGCCAGCAUAUAAUGUUGGCUGUCCAGAUGCCUAAAAAGCAUCUGUUAGCAAGGGCCGGGCAAGACCGGUGCCAGCCGCCGCGGUAACACCGGCGGCCCGAGUGGUAACCGCUAUUAUUGGGUCUAAAGGGUCUGUAGCCGGCCAGGUAAGUCCCUUGGGAAAUCUGGCAGCUCAACUGUCAGGCUGCUAGGGGAUACUGUUUGGCUUGGGACCGGGAGAGGUGAGAGGUACCUUGGGGGUAGGGGUGAAAUCUUGUGAUCCUCGGGGGACCACCAGUGGCGAAGGCGUCUCACCAGAACGGGUCCGACGGUAAGGGACGAAAGCUAGGGGCACGAACCGGAUUAGAUACCCCAGUAGUCC